CCCUGCCAGUAUGAUGGAUAUGAUCCUCGGCUUGCAACCGAGUGGGCCGGGUUCGAAUCUCGAAUAAGGCAGGGA